GGUGAAUCCCGUCACAGAUCCUUCUGGUUCGAAACGGAAGCCUUAGCGGCCCGAAAGGGUGGCAGUCGGACGACUAUAAAUAUGAACAGACUGACUUAAUCGCUAGUCUUCCCGGUCCCAUGGGGGGGCCGGGGGGGCGACACUAUCAAAUUGCGGGAAACCCCUAAAGCUCGUGUUACUAAGCGGGGCGUCGAAAGACGUCCCGUGGCCAGGUUAAUUGCCUCGGGUACAGUCACAACACGCGAGAUGUUACAAUGGGCAAUCCGCAGCCAACGCCUAAGGCGAGUUCCGGCUCGCUACGGUAGGGGUUCACAGACUAGACGGUAGUGGGUGCGGUUCGAACAUUCGAAUGUGUUCGUCCCGUGCUUAAGAUAUAGUCGAUGCCUUCGCGAGAGCGAGGGGCGUUGCGGCCGUCGGUGCGCCCACGAGGCGUGUCCGCCGACCGUCGACAUCCAAAAGUUCCGUAGGUGAACCUGCGGAAGGAUCAUUAAAGAGUAAGGGUGCUCAGCGCCCGACCUCCAACCCUCUGUUGUUAAAACUACCUUGUUGCUUUGGCGGGACCGCUCCAGGUCCGUCCGAGCCGCCGGGGCCGUCAAAAGCCCAGGCGAGUUCCCGCCAGAGUUAAACCAAACUCUUGUUAAUUAAACCGGUCGUCUGAGUUAAAUUUUUGAAUAAAUCAAAACUUUCAACAACGGAUCUCUUGGUUCUCGCAUCGAUGAAGAACGCAGCGAAAUGCGAUAAGUAAUGUGAAUUGCAGAAUUCAGUGAAUCAUCGAAUCUUUGAACGCACAUUGCGCCCCUUGGUAUUCCGAGGGGCAUGCCUGUUCGAGCGUCAUUACACCACUCAAGCACAGCUUGGUAUUGGGCGUCCGUCUCCCUCGCGGGGGGCGCGCCUCAAAGACCUCGGCGGAGCUUCACCGGCUUCAGGCGUAGUAGAAUUUAUUCGAACGUCUUUUAACGGAGAGGACUCCUCAGCCGACCGAAACCUUUUAUUUUUUCUAGGUUGACCUCGGAUCAGGUAGGGAUACCCGCUGAACUUAAGCAUAUCAAUAAGCCGGAGGAAAAGAAACCAACAGGGGAUUGCCCUAGUAACGG
rnacentral:rRNA from 1 species